CAGAAAUGUGCCAGGGCUUAACCGUUCAUGCUAUGAGAUGGGACAAGAAACACUAAUGAAUACCAGCUGCUCAUGGCUAUCUGACUCCAUCGCUGGGGCACUAGGAAAUUUCCCUGAAGCUGCUGAGAUACCUUUGUCUCGAGAAACCUCCCUUCUCUCCCUGUCACAGUGUCUGCUACCUACUAUCCUUCUCUGGUACAAGGAAAGUGACAUCUGAAGAAGUCAAUGGACUUCAGAACUAGCUAAGUCAACCAGAGUUCACCUGGAUCCCCUCUGCCUCUUCUGUGAUGCUACUUGGGAUCUGUUCUGUUUGGACCUAGCUGCUUGUGAUGCCAUUUGGGUGUGUACACCAUCCGUGGCACCAUGUGAGCUCUGUUCUGUUUGGACUUGGCUCUUCGUGGGGCCAUCUGAGGUUGAGAAAAGCCUUCAGGAUUUGUAUGUAGCCCCUCUCAGUUGGGAUCUAUCUGGGAGUGCACUGUCUGAAUCUGUGACUGUGUGAGUGUGUAGCAUCUACAUUGGGCCCAUACCUAUCUCUCUCUUUCUCUCUCUUUUUUUUUCCCAGAGUCUCACUCUGCUGCUCAGGCUGGAGUGCAGUGGUGUGAUCUCGGCUCACUGCAACAUCUGCCUCCCAGGUUCAAGCAAUUCUUCUGCCUAAGCCUCCCAAGUAGCUGGGACUAUAGUCUCAAGAUAUAACCUUGAAGCAAACUGCAGAAAUUUUUUCCCCUCCUCAGUCUUAAUAUAUAGCUUUGAAACAUACCAAGAGUCUUUGUUCCCCCGCCAUUUCCCACCGUACACUCCCUUACGUCACAUACAUUUAUCUGACUGUAGGCUUGUAUCUAAAUAUGUGCUUACUUAGAAGUUCUAGGGACUAAUUUUGAGACAGAUUACAGGCAUGGAAACCCAGCUGCAAAAUUCCAGAGAUUACCUCAAAGCAGUUAGUCAACAACCCGGCCAUUGUGGGGAUGAUGCCAGCCCAUGCUCCAGGUGGACCAUGACUCAAGAUAGCCACCAGAACGAGACGCACGGACCUGUACCCAGCACCACUCCUUGCAUGCCACCCACUGCAAGUUCCCUUUGUAAGCCCCUCUCCCCAGGCUAAAGUUUGAAAUGGUUCCUUUAAGGCACAAGCCAUGGCCACUUCUCCAGUGCUAGCUCUGGAAUAAAGCUUCUUUCUUUUCACUGCAUCUUGUCCUUGUUAUUGGUUUUGCAAGCAGCCAAGCCUGCAUUUGGUUACAUUUUAUUGUUUUAAAACUACUUUCAAAUGCAUUACUUCUAAA
rnacentral:lncRNA from 1 species